CACACACACACACAUAGUAGUCAGCUUUUUUCAGACUUUUUUUUUUUUUUUCCCAGCCUGCAGAAUUAAAUGUGUUCUCGCUCUGUCUCUCUCUCUGUUUCUGUCUCUCUUUCUCUUCCCCCAUACCAGGAAUCUGUCUUGUGUAAUGUGAUGGCCAAGGCCCUGAACUAACUACUAAGAAUAGGGCUAAUAAGAAAUGGAUAAAGAUUACUUUGGAUACUCUUCCCCAUGCACAAAGGCAUGCUUAGAUGCAAUGUCUGUUACUAGGUGCUAUGUGAAUGUGUACAUUACAUCUAUAACAAAAUAUCUGUUGAUAUUCCAUAUGUCAUGUUUUAAAGUCAUUCUAAGUUAUACAAAAUAAUAGGCUCUGAUGAAAUAAUUGUGCUUUCCCUUUCUUCCAUGCUGUCAUGUGACCGUUCAUAAUCUGUUGGAGGGUUCUCGAGUCCCAGGAGUAGGGGAAUCGCAGAGAGCCACGAAUCUGCUUGCUAUGUAAGCUCUCUAGCAAGGAAAAGCUGACCCAGGUGUGAAGCAGGUGUCUUAAGGGUAUCCAACUUUGGAGAAAGCAGGGAAGGAAUUUUUGUCGUUCUCUACGUUUCACUUCAUAGACCAGUACACCCCACAGACACUAAAACAGUUGACCCCGACGUGAUUUGAACACGCAACCUUCUGAUCUGGAGUCAGACGCGCUACCGUUGCGCCACGAGGUCCUGCAGGAGCCCCCUUCUCCUUUACCUGUCAACCUGAUCUAUGAAAUUAAUCACCUGUACUAAGUAAGUGAAGUUUAAUUGCGCCGCAUCCCAUCUGCGCGACAGCGGCGUCUCCUUACACCCGCUCUUGUCCUUAGUUGAAAUGAUCGAUUUCGUACUGCGAGAGUUCUUUUUAAUCUGAUCACUGGAUCUGAAACUGCCCCUAAGAAGAGCAGGAAAUCUUUUUGGCCGGAGGAAGCAAGUGAUCCCGUCACCAUGGUUUGACUGGUUAAAGCGCCUGUCUGGGAAACUGCAGGCGGGUUUCGAAUCUCAAUGAGAUUUUUUCCCGAGAUGUAUCGCUUUGAACUCCUAGAAAAAGAUAUUCUGAAAAAUGAAUCCUGAGCUCUGAACCCAUUUUUCAAGAUUAAGAACUGGAAAUUUUAAUUUUCAGAGAGAGGUGCGUCUGUUUUACAGUAGUGGAUCAUUUUUCAGAAUAUCCUGUCCAGUAGUCUCAAAAUUGUGUACCUCUGAUUCUCCUUAUCUCUUUUCCUUGCUUUUCCUAGGCUAGAUGCUGCAUACUAUAUAUCAGCAUCUAGUAUACCAUAUAUUUUACUUAUAUAUUUAUUGAUUACCUAUUGAAAAUAACUAAACUAAAAGCUAAGGCACAGCCUCUUUGGGGGCCCGUCUGAGAGGUCAGCUUGCCCUCCACAUAACAUAUCCUCUUUGGCUACCACACCCACCUCACCAUAGCAUGGCUACCACUCCCUGCUAAGAACAAACACCAGGAAGUUGACCCAGAGGGAUGGCGGCCUCUCUAAGAAAUCAGACUCUCAGACUUGAUAUAUGUCCCUCAUUUUGGUUGUGGAUCCCCUGUGACACAGAACACGUGGUAAAUUAUUGCAGCAGAGGCUGCUAGAGUAGUUAUCAAAGUCUGUUUCCUUUUCUUCUUGGAAAUACAAUUGUCUUGGUCUGUUUGGGGUGCUAUCACAAAAUAUCAUAGACUAGGUGGCUUAAACAAAAAAAAACCCAUUUAUUUCUCAUAGUUCUCCAUAGUUCUGGAUGCUUAA